UGUGUUGUUGGGUAGGGGAGCGUUCUGUAAGCCUGUGAAGGUGUGUCGUGAGGCAUGCUGGAGGUAUCAGAAGUGCGAAUGCUGACAUAAGUAACGAUAAAGCGGGUGAAAAGCCCGCUCGCCGGAAGACCAAGGGUUCCUGUCCAACGUUAAUCGGGGCAGGGUGAGUCGACCCCUAAGGCGAGGCCGAAAGGCGUAGUCGAUGGGAAACGGGUUAAUAUUCCCGUACUUGGUGUUACUGCGAAGGGGGGACGGAGAAGGCUAUGUUGGCCGGGCGACGGUUGUCCCGGUUUAAGCGUGUAGGUGUGUGUUCCAGGUAAAUCCGGUUCACUUUAACACUGAGGCGUGAUGACGAGGCACUACGGUGCUGAAGCAACAAAUGCCCUGCUUCCAGGAAAAGCCUCUAAGCAUCAGGUAACAUCAAAUCGUACCCCAAACCGACACAGGUGGUCAGGUAGAGAAUACCAAGGCGCUUGAGAGAACUCGGGUGAAGGAACUAGGCAAAAUGGUGCCGUAACUUCGGGAGAAGGCACGCUGACACGUAGGUGAAGUGAUUUACUCAUGGAGCUGAAGUCAGUCGAAGAUACCAGCUGGCUGCAACUGUUUAUUAAAAACACAGCACUGUGCAAACACGAAAGUGGACGUAUACGGUGUGACGCCUGCCCGGUGCCGGAAGGUUAAUUGAUGGGGUCAGCGCAAGCGAAGCUCCUGAUCGAAGCCCCGGUAAACGGCGGCCGUAACUAUAACGGUCCUAAGGUAGCGAAAUUCCUUGUCGGGUAAGUUCCGACCUGCACGAAUGGCGUAAUGAUGGCCAGGCUGUCUCCACCCGAGACUCAGUGAAAUUGAACUCGCUGUGAAGAUGCAGUGUACCCGCGGCAAGACGGAAAGACCCCGUGAACCUUUACUAUAGCUUGACACUGAACAUUGAGCCUUGAUGUGUAG
rnacentral:rRNA from 2 species